CAGUGUGUGUGUUAGUGGAAGCGUCUGGAAAGGCGCGCGAUACAGGGUGACAGCCCCGUACACAAAAAUGCACAUAUUGUGAGCUCGAUGAGUAGGGCGGGACACGUGGUAUCCUGUCUGAAUAUGGGGGGACCAUCCUCCAAGGCUAAAUACUCCUGACUGACCGAUAGUGAACCAGUACCGUGAGGGAAAGGCGAAAAGAACCCCGGCGAGGGGAGUGAAAAAGAACCUGAAACCGUGUACGUACAAGCAGUGGGAGCCUCUUAAUGGGGUGACUGCGUACCUUUUGUAUAAUGGGUCAGCGACUUAUAUUCUGUAGCAAGGUUAACCGAAUAGGGGAGCCGAAGGGAAACCGAGUCUUAACUGGGCGUUAAGUUGCAGGGUAUAGACCCGAAACCCGGUGAUCUAGCCAUGGGCAGGUUGAAGGUUGGGUAACACUAACUGGAGGACCGAACCGACUAAUGUUGAAAAAUUAGCGGAUGACUUGUGGCUGGGGGUGAAAGGCCAAUCAAACCGGGAGAUAGCUGGUUCUCCCCGAAAGCUAUUUAGGUAGCGCCUCGUGAAUUCAUCUCCGGGGGUAGAGCACUGUUUCGGCAAGGGGGUCAUCCCGACUUACCAACCCGAUGCAAACUGCGAAUACCGGAGAA
rnacentral:rRNA from 1 species